GCUUGAAAAAGCGACAAUAUUACUGUUUGUCCCUCUUGAGAUGCCGUAAACCAGUACACUUCCUCAAAAUAGUCUGAAUGAAUCUACUAAGUCAAGAAAUAUGUAAUUAAUUUGGACAUUUUUGCAGAGGUGGACUUAGUCGCACAUUUUUACAUCCAACUAAGAUGUAAGAUACCGGUACAUGAAAACUAGUCGUCUGUUGUUGAAUGACAACAAACCCUUAACUAAGAAUCCCUACUAUUGACUAAUCAUCCACGACUGGGCGUAGACUACCGAACUUCAACUAGCCUCAAGGGAAAAAUGUGUGUGCUUGAACAGCCCCCCCAAAAAAUGACGAACAGGAUAUCUAGGUUGACUCAUUUUAUCUGGCUUUGGAAAGACUACAGCCUGAUGGGAGCCCUACUUCCUUGUCCAAUUCUGUUCCCACCCUCGAAGACAGGCUUUUCAAAACAGGGGCGGUACUAGUUUGUACAGGUUCAAAAGAGCUAUGUUAACGUGCACUGUCUUUCUGAGAUGGCUAGCUCAAUAAUUACAACAGCUGCUUCUAGUGAUUCCUCUUUCCAAGAAGAGCUGGACAUACUAACAUAGGGACAUUCUGCCCUAUUCCUUUGAGUUCUUCCUGGACAGGGUCACUGCAGAUCCCAUGGAACGUGUGUGUGACAGACCAUCGAAGUUUCAAUGCACAAAUGGAUAGAGGUGUGCUGGAGACGUUCUUCAGAACCUCCAAGAUCAACUGGCGGCGGCAGGCUAGACCAGCUGGACCAGGAGGGCAAAUGUCAAACAGGUGACUACCUCAUGAAGCUGGUUGAGAGAAUGCCAAGAGUGUGCAAAGCUGUCAUCAGGUUGGGAACUGCCCCAUCGUCAUCAAUGGAGCCUCAGUGGAGACAAUCAAUAACGUAAAGUUCCUCGGCGUACACGUCUCCGAUAAGCUGAAAUGGUCAAACCACACGGAUACAUUGGUGAGGAAGGCACGGCAAUGACUCUUCAACCUCAGGAGGCUGAAGAAAUUUGUCCCCGAGGGCCCUUAGUGUUCCACAGGAGCACCAUCAAGAGCUUACUGUCAGGCUGCAUCACAACCUGGAAUGGCAACUCCACCACCGCUGACCCUGCUGCCCCCCCUCUAUGGACAUUCUACCCUGCUACUGCCUCUAUUGACACUUACCAUGCUCCCACCCCACCAACCAAUGGAGAUUUAUCAUUGCUACAGUUGUAAAUGUGUCUAUAUUAUUAUUAUUUGUUAUUAUUGUCACACUCACUUCUCUUUUGACCUGCACUGUUGGAGCUCUGAGCAUAAGAAUUUCACUGUAUCCUACAAUUACAUUGGUUUAGAUUUUGGUUGAGAUAAACAAAUGAAGUUCGCUAGCAAGCUAGCUCUGCUCCACUUCUUAGUAAGGUAACCAAUGAAAUAUUACCCCAGCAGCCAGUGCUUGCUUGUAGACUAAGCGUAAACAUCGCUGACAAUCUGAAAUGGUCCACCCACACAGACAGUGUGGUGAAGAAGGCGCAAACUCAGGAGGCUCAAGAAAUUCGGCUUGGCCCCUAAGACCCUCACAAACUUUUACAGAUGCACAAUUGAGAGCAUCCUGUCAGGCUCUAUCACCGCCUGGUACGGCAACUGCACCGCCUGCAACAGCAGGGCUGGCCAAAGGGUGAUGCUGUCUGCCCAACGCAUUAAUGGGGGCACACUGCCUGCCCUCCAGGACACCUACAGCACUCGAUGUCACAGGAAGGCCAAAAACGUAAUCAAGAACAUCAACCAUCCGAGCCACGGCCUGUUCACAACACUACCAUCCAGAAGGCGAGGUCAGUACAGGUGCAUCUAAGCUGGGACCAAGAGACUGAAAAACAGCUUCUAUCUCAAGGCCAUCAGGCUGUUAAAUAGCCAUCUUUGCAGCUCAAAUAAAUGCUUCACAGAGAUCAAUUAACAGACACAUCUCAACAUCAAUGGUUCAGAGGAGUCUGCGGGAAUCAGGCCUUCAUGGUCGAAUUACUGCAAAGAAACACUGCUAAAGGACCAAUAAGAAGAAGAGACUUGCUUGGGCCAAGAAACACAAGCAAUGGACAUUAGACCGAUGGAAAUCUGUCCUCUGGUCUGAAUAGUCCAAAUUUGCGAUUUUUGGUUCCAACCACCGUGUUUUUGUGAGACGCAGAGUAGGUGAAUGGAUGAUCUCCGCAUGUGUGGUUCUCACUGUGAAUCAUGGAGGAGGAGGUGUGAUGGUGUAGGGGUGCUUUGGUGGUGACACUGUCAGUGAUUUAUUUAGAAUUCAAGGCACACUUAACCAGCAUGGCUACCACAGCAUUCUGCAGCGAUACGCCAUCCAAUCUGGUUUGGGUUUAGUGGGACUAUCAUUUGUUUUUCAACAGGACAAUGACCCAACACACUUCCAGGCUGUGUAAGGGCUAUUUGACCAAGAAGGAAAGUGAUGGAGUGCUGCGUGACCAAGAAGGAGAGUGAUGGAGUGCUGCAUCAGAUGACCUGGCCUCCACAAUCACCUGACCUCACCCCAAUUGAGUUGGACCACAGAGUGAAGGAAAAGCAGCCAACAAGGGCUCAGCAUAUUCGGGAACUCCUUCAAGACUGUUGGAAAUGCAUUCCAGGUGAAGCUGGUUGAAAGAAUGCCAAGUGUGCAAAGCUGUCAUCAAGGCAAAGGGUGGCUACUUUGAAGAAUCUAAAAUAUAUUUUGAUUUGACACUUUUUUGGUUACUACAUGAUUCCAUGUGUUAUAUCAUAGUUUUGAUAUCUUCACUAUUAUUUUACAAUGUAGACAAUAGUAAAAAUAAAGACAAAACUACUUUUGAC
rnacentral:lncRNA from 1 species